GUCACGGUCAACGUGAGGAAGAUUGCGGC
rnacentral:sRNA from 1 species